UACGUAGGGGGCAAGCGUUGUCCGGAUUUACUGGGCGUAAAGGGCGCGUAGGCGGCCGUUUGCGUCGGAUGUGAAAGCCCGGGGCUCAACCUCGGAACGGCAUUCGAUACGGGACGGCUAGAGACCGGGAGAGGAGAGUGGAAUAGCCAGUGUAGAGGUGAAAUUCGUAGAUAUUGGCUGGAACACCGGUGGCGAAAGCGGCUCUCUGGCCCGGUUCUGACGCUGAGGCGCGAAAGCGUGGGGAGCAAACAGG
rnacentral:rRNA from 1 species